CCUACGGGAUGCAGCAGUGGGGAAUAUCGCACAAUGGGCGCAAGCCUGAUGCAGCCAUGCUGCGCGUAUGAAGAAGGCCUUCGGGUUGUAAAGUACUUUCAGCGGGGAGGAAGGCGAUAAGGUUAAUAACCUUGUCGAUUGACGUUACCCGCAGAAGAAGCACCGGCUAACUCCGUGCCAGUAGCCGCGGUAAUACGGAGGGUGCAAGCGUUAAUCGGAAUUACUGGGCGUAAAGCGCACGCAGGCGGUCUGUCAAGUCGGAUGUGAAAUCCCCGGGCUCAACCUGGGAACUGCAUACGAAACUGGCAGGCUGGAGUCUUGUAGAGGGGGGUAGAAUUCCAGGUGUAGCGGUGAAAUGCGUAGAGAUCUGGAGGAAUACCGGUGGCGAAGGCGGCCCCCUGGACAAAGACUGACGCUCAGGUGCGAAAGCGUGGGGAGCAAACAGGAUUAGAUACCCGGGUAGUC
rnacentral:rRNA from 1 species